UUUGGGCGACCCCACAGCCUGCCCCAAAACCGGCCACGGCACCAACCCCAUCGCCGCCGGCUCGGCCGACGU
rnacentral:sRNA from 1 species